GGACGAUUAGCUCAGCGGGAGAGCGCUUCCCUGACACGGAAGAGGUCACUGGUUCGAUCCCAGUAUCGUCCA
rnacentral:tRNA from 2 species